UAUUUUACUUACUCCGUG
rnacentral:snRNA from 1 species